UACCCCUUUUUUUGUCUGGCUCUCAACCAAGUACAUACAACACACAGGUGUAUUAGGUGAAGGUAUUGAAGAGAAAGUCCAAGGAAACUGCCAAGUCAUUGUGAUAUAAUUUCUCAGUUUCCGGAUUGGUCUUCUUAAUUGUGAUGAUCUUUCUUCAGUGGGCUGGAAGUUUUUUUUUUUUUUUUUUUCCUAUACUCUUUGAAUAUAAUCUUUUAUUGGUUUUACACGAUAUAGCACAUAAAAUAUUAAGUGUGUAAGACUUCCACAUCCACAAGCUAGCAAAAUCUGAUAAGUUUGUUCUGCUUCAAAUUUUAUAGGUGAAACUCUCUCUCUGUGGGUUCUUCACAGGGUUUGGUGGACAAGAUGAAUUCAUGUUUGAAAAUGAAGAGGAAAGCAAAAGGGAAGGCACCAUUUAUGAAGAAUGGAAGACUAUUAUUAGAGGAGCCAAUUGCCUUUUGCAAUGGGAAAAGCAAUCCUAUCCAUGUCUUCUCUGCCGAGGAGCUCAGAAGAGAAACAAACUACCAUGACCCUUGCUUAGUUUUGAAUUUUACAAGGGCUCUCUAGAAGGCUGCUUAAUUUCAGUUAAAAAGUACAAAGGAGAAUUUCUUUGGUAUUUUGAAGUUGAAGACACUAUUAAAGACUUUGUGGUUGGAACACAAAUGAGUGUCCACAAAAAUGUUCUAAAACUCUUAGCAUCUACUUAGAGACCAAUAUUCCAAUUCUAGUGUAUGAAUUUGUAGGGGACAGAAUUCUCUCCACGUGUAUCCAUCCAAUUGAGGGAGUCAUCUCAGAUCCAUUACCAUGUAAAUGCAAGCUAAGCAUUGCAAUGGGCAUAGCUAAUGCAGUUACAUAUCUCCUUUAAUUCAUUUUUUAGGCCUGUUAUCCAUAGAAAUAUUAAGCCAUCCAUAUUGGAUGAGAACAAUGUUGCAGAGCUGACAGAUUUCUCACUCUCUAUAUCUAUUCCUAAAGAUCAAUUGCAAGUAAAGUGACAGUAGUUUUGGAAACUGUAA